rnacentral:rRNA from 1 species
GAUGAACGCUGGCGGCGCGCCUAAUACAUGCAAGUCGAGCGAACGGACGAGAAGCUUGCUUCUCUGAUGUUAGCGGCGGACGGGUGAGUAACACGUGGAUAACCUACCUAUAAGACUGGGAUAACUUCGGGAAACCGGAGCUAAUACCGGAUAAUAUUUUGAACCGCAUGGUUCAAAAGUGAAAGACGGUCUUGCUGUCACUUAUAGAUGGAUCCGCGCUGCAUUAGCCAGUUGGUAAGGUAACGGCUUACCAAGGCAACGAUGCAUAGCCGACCUGAGAGGGUGAUCGGCCACACUGGAACUGAGACACGGUCCAGACUCCUACGGGAGGCAGCAGUAGGGAAUCUUCCGCAAUGGGCGAAAGCCUGACGGAGCAACGCCGCGUGAGUGAUGAAGGUCUUCGGAUCGUAAAACUCUGUUAUUAGGGAAGAACAUAUGUGUAAGUAACUGUGCACAUCUUGACGGUACCUAAUCAGAAAGCCACGGCUAACUACGUG